GUUUGUGAAGGGAAAGGGAGACUUUAGACAGGUGCAUACUGAAAUUUUGAGCGCAUACCUGCCCCAGAAAGUAUUUGGACAUUUGUCACACUUAAAAGUGUAUGUCUUUACAUUAAUGUAGUGCACCUUUCAAGGUAAACAAACCAAAAGAUGUUUGGUAGGUUCUCUCGUGUUCUUGAUAAGAGAGCCAUCUAGUGGAAAUAAAUGAUGUCAUCUCAACAGUAGGUCCUCAUGGUGGCGCGGUUACUCACCUCAAUCCGGGUGGCAGAGGACAAGUCUCAGUUGCCUCCACUUCUGAGACCAUCAAUCUGUGCAUCUUAUCACGUGGCUCAUUGUGCACGACACCGCAGAGACUCACAGCAUGUGGAGGCUCAUGCUACUCUUCGCGAUCCACGCACAACUUACCACACGCCCCAUUGAGAGUGAGAACCACUAAUCAUGACCACGAGGAGGUUACCCCAUGUGACUCUACCCUCCCUAGCAACCAGGACAAUUUGGUUGCUUAGGAGACCUGAUUGGAGUCACUCGACAUGCCCUGGAUUCCAACUCGCGACUCUAGGGAUGGUAGUCAGCAUCAAUACUCGCUGAGCUACCCAGGCCCCUAUUGCAUCAAUCUUAAACAUCUGCUGAUUAGGAACCACAUCGAUCUCAACUCCUCGCUGUUCAAGAACAACAAAUAAUUGCAUCUCAGACUUCAGAGGAUGAACUGAUGCCAACUACAACUGUAAGACAUGAGAUACUUCAUAUGCCAUUGCCUGAACCUUAGACUUAUGAUGGACCUCACCGAAAUUACCGUCCGGUUGAACUGUGAUGCACCUCAUUGAUCUCUGCCUGCAUCACCUCGGUUUAAUGAUGGACUACACUCUUAUAUUGGAAUACACAGACUAUCAAUUAAUUGCCAAUAAAAGCCUUCAUCAGCCAACUAACAAGGACAAUGUAUCAAUGUGAACUUCUGCGGUUAAUCCAGGAUGAACUUCAAAGACAUUAGUCAUUAAUCUUACAGUUCAUACAAAAUCCAUGUUUAAACACUGACCCUUAACACUUACUUAGUUUACUAAUCUUAACCCAUGACCUGCACUAUAAAUAACUAAUAUUGUCAUUAUAUUCAUGAUGUUAGUCAGAGGGGAACUGGCCCCCACAGUGAGUCUGGUUUCUCUCAAGGUUAUUUUUCUCCAUUAAUCAACAUCUUAUGGAGUUUUGUGUUCCUUACCACAGUCGCCUUCAGCUUGCUCACUGGGGUUAUAAAUAUAAUUAUUAUUAUUUACUUAUUUUUAAACACAAUUCACAAUCAUAUUUAAUCAAACUACACAAUGAUGACUCUAAGACAUUAUAGAUAUUACAGUUUUAUCUUCUGUUAAUGCCUGAUCUUCUGUAAAGCUGCUUUGAAACGAUGUGUGUUGUGAAAAGUGAUAUACAAAUAAAAAUGAC